rnacentral:sRNA from 1 species
GCCGGCAUGGUGGCGCAUGCCUGUAAUCCCAACAGUUUGGGAGGCUGAGGCAGGAGGAUCGCUGAUUCAAAGCCAGCCUCAGCAAUUUAGCAAGGCGCUAAGCAACUUAGUGAGACCUUGUCUCUA